CACAGUGAGACCAUAAGCAUGACUUAGGGUGGUAAGUGGAAGUCGUAACGCUCUUCUCAGUGAGACCAUAAGUAUGGUUUGGGGAGGUUUGAAUCAAAUUCCACAAGAGACCAAUUUGGAACAGAUCUGAAAUUAUAUCACAGCACAAGAGAAGGAGUUCCAAAAGUAUCACUAAAACACAUUUACUAUUUUAAAAUGAUAAUCAGAUAUAUUGACAUCAUGGAGGAAGAGGUUGUCUGAGCUAAUGUAUGUGAGUGAUAUUGUUUGCAAUAAAUACGAGUAGAAACACCUUA